UUGUGCAAAAGGUGUUGGGAACUGGAAAGAAACUGUGUCUGAAUUUGAAAGAGCCAAGUGCAAAUUCUAAAGUUAUGGCCAGAACUUACAGUGCCCAGGUAAGUCACUUUUACAAUUUUCCCUUAUUUCCCCUUAGUCCAAAACAAAAGAACACUCAGUUCCCCUUCGUCCAAAACAAAAGAACGAUCAUUUCAUUGCUCUCCCUCCCCCUCUCUCUCUCUCUCUCUCUCUCUCUCUCUCUCUCUCUCUCUUUGUUCCCUGCGAUUCCACCAUCACCGCUAUCACUCGCUGAAAAUUAGAAGAAAGGAGAUGCACGAGAAUUUCAAUCUUCAGGGUAUAAAGUGACACCAAUGGCAUUUGUUUAUCACACUAAGGAAAACAAUCAACAGAAAAGUGCAAGGACACAACUUGUGCAACCACCACCAUGAAAAGGGAGUUCCUCCUAACUCGAGCUUUAUUUUAUUUAGUUGCGUUGAGGACAAUGCAACAUUUUUUAGUUGGGGGUGGCUCAUUUAUUUGAGAUGAUUUAUGGUGGUUGAUGAAUUUGGUAGAUUGAUUUUAUUUUGGUAUUUUUUUUAUUACAUAUUUAUAUUAGUAUGAUUGUUUUUUUUUACUAGCUUCUUUAAUUUUUGAUAGGAGUAAAAGUGGUGUGGGGUGUGAUUUUUGCUCCUUGACCAAUUUUGGCUUAUUUGGUACCAACUUAUUUAAACCUUGGCAUAUGAAUUCUUGAUUUUAAAAAAAAUAAAAAAGGAUUCAAGUAAUGAUUCUUAUUGUGACUUUUGGAUUCAAUGUUUGGCUCUUAAGUUCACUAAGUAGUCUCUUUAGACUAUGAGUGACUUUUUUUUUUUAGUUCAUUUGUUUCAAUUGGGUUUUGGAUACAUAUUUCACUUGAGUUUGCAUGUGCCAUGUGUGGUGAGGUUUUUGUGAGUUCUUUUGCUUUACUUGUGGUCUAGAACUUGCCUGGAAUGUAUUUCAAGGCGAAAUUCUAGGUUACACUUAAUUUGAAAAAUGAUGUUAGGCCUUAUUUGGAUCGUUUUUGCCUUAAAUUUCCUACCCUUGCAUAUUUUCCCUAGUCAACCCCUUUUGAGCCUUUAACCUUUUCUUUGACAACCAUGUUACAAGCUUAAUCUUAUCCCGUUCUUUAUUGAUCCAUCUUCUGGUACCCUACCUCUUUAAUUGCAUUAAAAGUGCAAACAUAGGCUAAAAGCCUAAGUUUGGGAGUGAUGGUUGGAAAAAGUUGUUAUGUGGAAGUUACUUUAAAGGUGAAAAAAAAUGGAAAAUUCCUGGUUAUUUUGAAAAAGAAAAAUAAAAAGAAAAAGGGAAGGAAUAAUAAGAGUUGUGAAUAAAGCAGAGACUAGUUGGUGAAAUGAAAAAUGAAAAAUGAAGAAAGAGGUGGAAAAGUUUCAAAGGAAGUGUGCUUCGAAUGUUGAAAAUUGUAGUGCCUAGGGAGGUUUUGAGUCACUUUUACCCAAAUUAUUCCCUACCUUAACCAAAGGCCUACAUUACAACCCUUUAAGUCCAAAUUGAUUUUGAACCAAGUGUGUCUACAUUAGUGGAGAAAUACAUGAAGGGCAAGCUUAUGGUACUACUUGUGUGCAUUUGAACAUCUUCAAGAGAGAGAGAGAGAGAGAGAGAGAGAGUUAAAUCUUUUAUUUGAUAUCCCAUUUGUGUUUUGAAUUACAUUUUCUAAGCGUGGGAUUCUCUCUUGAGUGUGAGGGCACAUAAGAAUUUAAGUUGUGAAUUUGUUCCAUUUUCCAAUUGAGAGGAAUGAACAAAAGAAAGUUAUUUUGUGAUAAUGAGGCAAAUUUUGAAGCUUUAGUGUCUUGACUUGAUUACUACUUUGCUUAACUUGGAAACGAGCACUUGAAAUGAAAAUGAAGUUUUUGAGAAGAAGUUGGUGAUUAAUAUGUUUUGGAUUAAUUUGUGGUACCAAUCAAAGUCUUGUUUGUGCUUAAAGUAGACUUUUUGACUUGAUAUGAUGUUGGUGCACUAUUGAGUCGAUUCCUUAGAAGGAGAUUGUAUGUUUUGAAUUGCUUGAGGACAAACAAUAGUUUAAGUUUAGGGGUUUGAUAAGUUGGUAUUUUACCAACUUAUCUCUUCUUUAAUCUUAUAUUUUUGCUAUGUUUGAUUGAGAAAAUAGUGCAUUUAAUAUCGUUUACAUCUAUUUUACAGGUUUUGUGUGAUUUAGAAGUGAUCGGAAGAAACCAAGUGAAAAUAAAGUAAAAAAGAGACCAAAUUGGACAGAUUUGCAAAACUGUCAAAACUGGACAGUUUUGCAAAAAGGGGACAGAUUUGCAAAAACGGGCAGAACUGCAAAAACUGAAAUAUGGGGCAUAUUUUGUCAUUUUUUGGACUUAGAAAAAUUAGGCAACUAUAAAAGCAAGACUUGGUGAAAUUAUUUAUCAUCUUUGGCCAUUUACAAGACUUCCAAUACCCGCACUUGGGGAUUGAAGAUUUGAUGAGAAAUUUCUUACCUCUUUACUCAUUUCUUCAAUUCCUUACUAUGCAUUGAAUAUCUAAGUGCGUAGUAUUUCAUUUCUAUACUUGAAUCUUGUUUAUGGAAGUAUACAUUGUUAAAGUUUUAUAUUGAAACUCUUGUUUUGCUUAUGUAUUGAAUGAUUUUUAUUCCUAAUGAACUGAGUUAAUGUUGUUUUAA